AGUCAUUUUCUUUCUUUCUCUCUGGAAGAAGAACGGAGGAGGACGCAUGGAGCCUACGUGCGCUCUCACCAACAUUAAUUACUUGUUGAAUUUCCCGUUUAUUCAACAGUUGGAUGGAGACUAAUGGUUCCAGACAUUCAUACAGGCUUAUUUGUUUCACUCAAGGUUCUGUGUCUUUCAGGGAUAGAUGGUGCUGGAUGCGUUACUGUGGUACCGAGACUUGAUGGGCUGGCAGGAUGCUGAAGACGCUGUAGGAGGAUCAUCUAGUCUUUUGAUUUGAUUGGCUAGCAUGUAGACUGAAGAAGUAAAUCUUGCCCUGUGAUUGAUGGUCCAGUAUAAAGAUCUAAAUCUCAGCCCUAUGGUUUGUUGGACCUGCAGUAGAUGAGUGUCUUAUGGUGAGUUUCUUCCUGGUUUGAGGUGUCAACUUAGAACUGUUCAGCCAUUUUACUGGAAUUGUGAUGCCUUUUCUGCUGAUUUACCCUUCUGAAAAGCCAUUCAUCUGAAUUACCAGCACUAUAAAUAAACUAUUGUAGAAAGUUAAAGUAAUUUUGUUGCCAGCAAAUCUAAUUUAACCUUUUAUUUAUCUAGGCAUUUGUCUUAAUGAUUACAGUUGAUUAUCAAUUAAGAAACUGGUAAUUUACUUUAGCUGUGUUUGACUAUUGACACAAUCCUCAAGGUUUGGAAGGUGGCUCAUGUACUCAAGUUAACCCGUGACACCUAAAUAUCCUUUGCCCCUUUUCAAAACUUUCUUGCCUGGCAAAAAAA